rnacentral:lncRNA from 1 species
CUUGCCUCACAUGGCUUCUCCUUCAUGGACAAAGACUGCCCCACUUUUCUACUGAGUGAUAAUCUUGGAGUGAGAUACGAUAUCUAAAGGAAGAAUAGAUUGUAGACCGUAUUAGUAACACGUAAAUCGUUAGGGUGUGUAUACAAGGUCUGAGAAGACGUAGAAAUAACUCGAUCAUGAUAUGAUUAUUGUUAUACGAUAUCUAAAGAAGAAUUAGAGUGUAGACUGUAUGAGUAACAAGUAAACUGUUAGGGCAUGUAUAAAUGGUCUGAGACUGAGAGAGCACUUGAUCAUGACGUGAUUAUUAAACUGUUAGGGCAUGUAUAAAUGGUCUGAGACUGAGAGAGCACUUGAUCAUGACGUGAUUAUUGUUAUACGAGACCUUGGAGUAAAAUACGAUAUCUAAAGAAGAAUUAGUGUAGACUGCAUUAGUAACAGGGUAAUCGUUAGGGCAUGUAUAAAAGGUCUGAGAAGACGUAGAAAGCACUCGAUCGUGAUAUGAUUAUUGUAAUCUAGCCCUUUCGAUUUUCGAAUGAUGACUCUUAUGACUAGACGUGCAUUGACGCAUUGACGAGAGAUUGUGCUUCAUGCUGUGAGAAU